rnacentral:tRNA from 1 species
UGGCUCAGUGGUUAAGAGUACUGGGCUACUCUUCCAGAGGUCCUGAGUUCAAGUCUCAG